rnacentral:rRNA from 1 species
AUGAUAGGAAUAUUUUGGAAUUGUAGGGGGGUAGGUAAGGAAGGCAUGUCUACCUGCCUCACUGAUAUUAUUAAUGCCAAUGGUGUUGAUUUUAUUGGUCUUCAAGAGACUAUGAGAAAUUCCUAUAACCCUUCCUUUUUUAGGAAGUUGGACCCUGGACAAAAAAUUUAUUGGGAAUGGGUACCUUCUAGGGGCAAAUCUAGAGGUAUCUUGUGUGGUAUCAAUAAAGAUAAAUUUGAUCUUAUUACUGUUAAACAUGGUAAAUAUAUCCUUCAACUGGACCUCUUUGAUAAAAGUAAGAAAUGUAGCUGGUCUCUGAUGGUGGUAUAUGGAGCAGCUCAUGAUGAAAAUAAACCUGAGUUUAUAGCUGAGCUAUCACAUAUGUGUAAUAGUACCCACAUCCUUUAUUUGGUGGUGGUGGGUGGGGGGGAUUUCAAUAUACUUCGACACAGUGGUGAGAAGACAAAAAAACUCCCAUGUCUCAUUUUUCUGAUGUAUUUAAUUUUGUCAUCCACUUGCUGGGGCUUAGGGAGAUUUGCAUGCUCGGAGGGUGCUAUACUUGGUCCAACAAACAGGAAAACCCUACCCUGGAAAAGUUGGAUAGGGUGUUGA